rnacentral:rRNA from 1 species
CCUACGGGAGGCAGCAGUGAGGAAUAUUGGUCAAUGGCCGUAAGGCUGAACCAGCCAAGUCGCGUGAAGGAAGAAGGAUCUAUGGUUUGUAAACUUCUUUUAUAGGGGAAUAAAGGUAUCCAAGUGGGGAUGUUUGCAUGUACCCUCUGAGUGAGCAUCGGCUAACUCAGUGCCAGCAGCCGCGGUAAGACGGAGGAUGCGAGCGUUAUCCGGAUUUAUUGGGUUUAAAUGGGGCGUAGGUUGUUUUUUUAGUCAGCGGUGAAAGUUUGUGGCUCAACCAUAAAAUUGCCGUUGAAACUGGAAGACUUGAGUGUGUUUGAGGUAGGCGGAAUGCGUGGUGUAGCGGUGAAAUGCAUAGAUAUCACGCAGAACUCCGAUUGCGAAGGCAGCUUACUAAGCCAUAACUGACACUGAAGCACGAAAGCGUGGGGAUCAAACAGGAUUAGAUACCCUUGUAGUC